CCCGCAACCGGUUCGGAAACGGCCUUAAGGGUCGGUAAUGGCAGUUGGCCGGUGGCUCGUCUCGUGCGGGUCGUCGGUUGUUAGCCGUCCGAUCUUGGCUCGUGGCCGGACCGUGGUGUCGCGAGGCCUUUAUAGGCUUCUUCGCCUCCUCCGUUCGCGGACGCCGGGAUCCCRYGGCAGGGGUUCGCACUUCUGCGGGCGCACGGACCGACUCCGUGGCCCAGCGGUCGCAUGCGGCCUCGUUGGCUGUGGUGAACCCGUCGGAGGUUGGCGGUUAGCGGGGAGUAGAUCGGUCACCCACCCGACCCGUCUUGAAACACGGACCAAGGAGUCUAACAUGUGUGCGAGUCAAUGGGUCUCGAAUAAGCCCAGAGGCGCAAUGAAAGCAAAGGCAGGACUCGACGCCUGCCGAGUUGGGAUCCUCCUUCCUUCGCGUUGGAGGCGCACCAACGACCCGUCCUGUCCCAUUUAUGGGUUGGGCGGAGUUUG
rnacentral:rRNA from 1 species